GACAUCUGAAGGACAUCUGAAGGACAUCUCUGGGAGCAGUAGUCACGUUUCACCUGUCGCUCUGGCUCGUGACUCUAGAGUUGUCUGCUUUCAGAUUUACGCUGACAAAUCAAGAAAGAAAAUGCCCACGCCAUACCAGACUAGAUGCUUCAAGUCCUCCAGGGACGCUUCUGUAUUUAUUGGACAUCAUUCAUUCAACAGCUGCCAUUUUAACGAAGUCCUUCCUGGGUGCUGAGGAUGUCGGGAGCAAAGAGAUAAAGCCCACAGUAUGGAUCUUCUGUGUCAACUUUAGGUGGGCCACAGUGUCCACAUAUUUGAUCAAACACUACUUUGGGUAUUUCGGUGAAAGUGUUUCUUGACAUAAUUUAUCUUUAAAUAAAUGGACUUUGGGUAAAACAGGUUA